UUACUUACCGGAUUGUGUUUCCAGUACGUAGGCGGACCCAUUGCGGAACCGACCUGUUCUGCUUCAGCUUCUUAGCCAAUUUCUGCUUAAUUCGGAACGAUUUAUGCGCAGCCUAGACAAGAAAGACAGUACGUUUGUUUUAGUAAUUGCAUUUUGACAUUUAAUAUUAUGAUUUCAAAGAACUUCUUUGAUUACUUACCAUUUUGUCUGACCGAUUCAACGAGCCACA
rnacentral:lncRNA from 1 species